rnacentral:rRNA from 1 species
CCUACGGGAGGCAGCAGUGGGGAAUUUUGGACAAUGGGCGCAAGCCUGAUCCAGCAAUGCCGCGUGAGUGAAGAAGGCCUUCGGGUUGUAAAGCUCUUUUGUCAGGGAAGAAACGGGUGGAGCUAAUAUCUCUGCCUAAUGACGGUACCUGAAGAAUAAGCACCGGCUAACUACGUGCCAGCAGCCGCGGUAAUACGUAGGGUGCAAGCGUUAAUCGGAAUUACUGGGCGUAAAGCGUGCGCAGGCGGUUUUGUAAGUCUGUCGUGAAAUCCCCGGGCUCAACCUGGGAAUUGCGAUGGAGACUGCAAGGCUAGAAUCUGGCAGAGGGGGGUAGAAUUCCACGUGUAGCAGUGAAAUGCGUAGAGAUGUGGAGGAACACCGAUGGCGAAGGCAGCCCCCUGGGUCAAGAUUGACGCUCAUGCACGAAAGCGUGGGGAGCAAACAGGAUUAGAUACCCUGGUAGUCCACGCCCUAAACGAUGUCUACUAGUUGUCGGGUCUUAAUUGACUUGGUAACGCNGCUACGACGUGAGUAGACGCCGUCGGGUAGGUACGGUCGCGAGAGUUAAACGUUAAACGUAAGUUAGUACGGCGUGAGACGUAGCCGACGGACGACGACGAGGGAGGAGGG